rnacentral:lncRNA from 1 species
AAUGGAUUCCGGUAACCCCCUUCUGACUACCAGAGUCCUCUCCCUGUGACCCAGAAUGUUUGCACGUCCCACCCGCGCUUUGCCCAGCUCCUCACUGUCCUUGGACUUCCCUGGAGAAUGUAGAACUGAUGUGCACUGUUGGCUCCUGUUGUGCUGCACAGGCCUCCGGUAUUACAAAUGGAACUCAAGAGCAUACACCACUCAUCUCUGCUAGUGGAUCACCUCGAACGUUGUCUGCGCUGGGCUGAGGAUGCUCAUUACUGAAGUUCAAGGUUCUUACUGAUGUCACUGGAAAAUUUGUCUCUGCUCUGAGAAAUCACAGGGAUUAGUCUUUGUGACUCGUGAGGUGACUACACUAACACCUGGUGUUGAUAAGAUGGCAUGAAAACAGCCAGCUCUGGAAGUCGUGCUGGAGCGAUGGCUCAGAACUGAAUAGUGCUUGCUGCUCUUCCCAAGGACCCGACCUGGGUUACCAGCACCCAUGUUCUCCAGAUCACAGUCUUUGCUAACUCCAGCUCCAGGGCUUCUAACCCCCUCUUCUGGCCUCCAUGGUACCUUUACUCAUGUGCCUGACAUCCUCCCACACAUACUUAAUGAAAAAUUAGAAUUAAAUCUUUAAUAAUAAUAAUAAUAAAGAAUCCC